UACAGAGGUGGCAAGCGUUGUUCGGAUUUAUUGGGUGUAAAGGGCAGGUAGGCGGCCGGGUAAGUCUGUUGUGAAAUCCCAGAGCUCAACUCUGGAACUGCAAUGGAUACUGCUUGGCUUGAGCGUCAGAGAGGUGAGGGGAAUUCCAGGUGUAAGAGUGAAAUCUGUAGAUAUCUGGAGGAAUACCGGUGGCGAAGGCGCCUCACUGGCUGAUUGCUGACGCUGAACUGCGAGAGCUAGGGGAGCAAACAGG
rnacentral:misc_RNA from 1 species